rnacentral:rRNA from 1 species
AUGACUUGGAAUGAUAUCCUUGGUACCAAGGAUUGUUUAGAGAUUACAUUGUUGUUUUCUAGCUUGGAGAAGCAACAUCAACUUGGGAUGCAGAUUCACCAAUAUAUGUAUAUGCGUCUCAUAGCGGGGAGCUCUUGCACGGAUAUCCUUGAAACGAGCCAAGAACCACUAAAUUUGUGUGCUCAGGAACAUGCAGAUCAUGACCAUAAUGUCACUUUGGAUGCUUCUCCCCAAGAUUUGAAUCUGGAGCCUGACGCAGGUGUUGCAGGGAUGGUUGGAUUUUUAUUGAUAAUGCAUCUGGAAUUAACUCACUCGGCUCUAACUCGGCUCUAUCUCUCUUGGGAAGGCAACCCCUUGAUAGUUUAUGAUUUUGGGUGCAUGUAUAGAUAG